UGCGAUAGCUCAGUUGGUAGAACAUGAGACUCCUGAUCUCAGGGUCGUGGGUUCAAGUCCCACAUUGGGCAA